rnacentral:rRNA from 1 species
UACGUAGGGUGCGAGCGUUGUCCGGAAUUACUGGGCGUAAAGAGCUCGUAGGUGGUUUGUCGCGUUGUUCGUGAAAACUCACAGCUCAACUGUGGGCGUGCGGGCGAUACGGGCAGACUGGAGUACUGCAGGGGAGACUGGAAUUCCGGGUGUAGCGGUGAAAUGCGUAGAUAUCCGGAGGAACACCGGUGGCGAAGGCGGCUUCCUGGACCGACACUGACGCUGAGGCGCGAAAGCUAGGGGAGCAAACAGG